rfam:Coprobacillus sp. CAG:183 genomic scaffold, scf570
UUAAAUACUUUGAUAGGAACUAGUAAAUAAAUUUAUCGAGCAUAGAGAGAUUCUGGGUGGUGAAAAGAAUUGUUGAUGAUUUGUUGAACUCAUCCUUGAGUGGAGCGCUGAAUCAAGUAGGUGGCUACGGAGUGCAACCGUUAUCUAGCAAAAGUAUGAACUAUAUAUAAUAGCGUACUUGGUGAGAUUAAUAUCGUGAGGUAUUAAUAAAUUGAGGUGGAACCACGGGGUUACUAUACUCUCGUCCUCAAA